UACUGAGAGUCGGCCAGAUUUGGCCCAA
rnacentral:sRNA from 1 species